CGGCAACAGCUCAAAUUUGAAAUCUGGCCCCCCCGCGGGGCCCGAGUUGUAAUUUGCAGAGGAUGCUUUUGGCGCGGCGCCUUCCGAGUUCCCUGGAACGGGACGCCAUAGAGGGUGAGAGCCCCGUCUGGUCGGACGCCUAGCCUCUGUAAAGCUCCUUCGAC
rnacentral:rRNA from 1 species